CUAGGAAACAGAUGCUAAUACCGGAUAACAACACUAGACGCAUGUCUAGAGCUUGAAAGAUGGUUCUGCUAUCACUCUUGGAUGGACCUGCGGUGCAUUAGCUAGUUGGUAAGGUAACGGCCUUACCAAGGCAAUGAUGCAUAGCCGAGUUGAGAGACUGAUCGGCCACAGUUGGGACUGAGACGACCGGACCCAAACUCCGUACGGGGAGGCAGCAGGUAAGGGGAAUUCCUUCCAACAAGUGGAACGAAAGUCUGAUGGAGCAACGCCGCGUGAGUGAAGAAGGGUUUCGGCUCGUAAAGCUCUGUUGGUAGUGAAGAAAGAUAGAGGUAGUAACUGGCCUUUAUUUGACGGUAAUUACUUAGAAAGUCACGGCUAACUACGUGCC
rnacentral:rRNA from 1 species